rnacentral:rRNA from 1 species
AAAACAUCUUUUCUUGUUUAUUAAUUUGAGAUCUGACCUGCCCAAUGAUUAAUAUUUAAUGGCCGCGGUAUUUUGACCGUGCAAAGGUAGCAUAAUCAUUAGUUUAUUAAUUGUGGACUUGUAUGAAUGGUUGGACGAAAUAUUAACUGUCUCAUAUUUAUUUUUUGAAUUUAAUUUUUUAGUUAAAAAGCUUAAAUUUUAUUGUAAGACGAGAAGACCCUAUAGAUCUUUAUUUUUUAAAUUAAAUUUAUAAUUUAGUUUAUUUUUAAUAUAUAAUUUUAAAAUUUUUUGUUGGGGUGACAUGGAGAUAUAUUUAACUCUUUAUUUUAUUUACAUUUAUUUAUGAUUUUAUGACCUUUUACUAUUGUUUAAAGAUAUAGAUACCUUAGGGAUAACAGCGUAAUUUUUUUUGAGAGUUCAUAUCGACAAUAAAGAUUGCGACCUCGAUGUUGGAUUAAGAAUAAUUUAAGGUGUAGGUGCUUUAUAAAUUAGGUCUGUUCGACCUUUAAAUUCUUACA